UGGGGAAUAUUGGACAAUGGGCGCAAGCCUGAUCCAGCCAUGCCGCGUGAGUGAUGAAGGCCUUAGGGUUGUAAAGCUCUUUUACUCGGGAAGAUAGUGACGGUACCGAGGGAAUAAGCCCCGGCUAACUUCGUGCCAGCAGCCGCGGUAAUACGAAGGGGGCUAGCGUUGUUCGGAUUUACUGGGCGUAAAGCGCACGUAGGCGGAUCUUUAAGUCAGGGGUGAAAUCCCGAGGCUCAACCUCGGAACUGCCUUUGAUACUGGGGAUCUUGAGUCCGGAAGAGGUGAGUGGAACUGCGAGUGUAGAGGUGAAAUUCGUAGAUAUUCGCAAGAACACCGGUGGCGAAGGCGGCUCACUGGUCCGGAACUGACGCUGAGGUGCGAAAGCGUGGGGAGCAAAC
rnacentral:rRNA from 1 species